rnacentral:rRNA from 1 species
GUAGGUGGCAAGCGUUGUCCGGAAUUAUUGGGCGUAAAGCGCGCGCAGGCGGGGUCCUUUAAGUCUGAUGUGAAAGCCCACGGGCUCAACCGUGGAGGGUCAUUGGAAACUGGGGGACUUGAGUACAGAAGAGGAAAGCGGAAUUCCAAGUGUAGCGGUGAAAUGCGUAGAGAUUUGGAGGAACACCAGUGGCGAAGGCGGCUUUCUGGUCUGUAACUGACGCUGAGGCGCGAAAGCGUGGGGAGCAAACAGGAUUAGAUACCCUGGUAGUCCACGCCGUAAACGAUGAGUGCUAAGUGUUAGGGGGUUUCCGCCCCUUAGUGCUGCAGCUAACGCAUUAAGCACUCCGCCUGGGGAGUACGGCCGCAAAGGCUAA